rnacentral:rRNA from 1 species
AGAGUUUGAUCAUGGCUACAGAACGAACGCUGGCGGCAGGCCUCAAACAUGCAAGUCUAGGGGGUGUAGCAAUACAUCACCGGCGGACGGGUGCGUAACGCGUGGGAAUAUACCUAUUGGUUCGGAACAACACAGGGAAACUUGUGCUAAUACCGAAUGUGCCCUUACGGGGGAAAGAUUUAUCGCCAAUGGAUUAGCCCGCGUCCGAUUAGCUAGUUGGUGAGGUAACGGCUCACCAAGGCUCCGAUCGGUAGCUGUUCUGAGAGGAAGAUCAGCCACACUGGGACUGAGACACGGCCCAGACUCCUACGGGAGGCAGCAGUUGGGAAUCUUGGACAAUGGGGGAAACCCUGAUCCAGCCAUGCCGCGUGAGUGAUGAAGGCCUUCGGGUUGUAAAACUCUUUCGACGGGGACGAUAAUGACGGUACCCGUAGAAGAAGCUCCGGCUAACUUCGUG